rnacentral:rRNA from 1 species
CCCUUAGCUGUUCUGGGCUGCACGCGCGCUACACUGGUGCGUUCAGCGAGUUUAGCACCUUAACAGAUAUGUUUGGGUAAUCUUCUGAAAACGCACCGUGAUGGGGAUCGAUUAUUGUAAUUAUUAAUCGUCAACGAGGAAUUCCUAGUAAGUGUGAAUCAUCAGUUCGCGCUGAUUACGUCCCUGCCCUUUGUACACACCGCCCGUCGCUGCUACCGAUUGAGUGGUCCGGUGAAUUAUUCGGACCGGUGGACUGUGGGGAAACCCGCGGCCUGCUGGGAAGUCUUGUGAACCUUAUCACUUAGAGGAAGCAGAAGUCGUAACA